GACGAACCGUGCGAACGUUGUUCGGAAUCACUGGGCUUAAAGGGCGCGUAGGCGGGCUGUCAAGUCUGGGGUGAAAUCCCGCGGCUCAACCGUGGAACUGCCUCAGAUACUGACGGCCUCGAGGGAGAUAGGGGCGAGCGGAACUAAUGGUGGAGCGGUGAAAUGCGUUGAUAUCAUUAGGAACUCCGGUGGCGAAGGCGGCUCGCUGGAUCUCUUCUGACGCUGAGGCGCGAAAGCUAGGGGAGCAAACGGG
rnacentral:rRNA from 1 species